GACGAACGCUGGCGGCGUGCUUAACACAUGCAAGUCGAGCGGUAAGGCCCUUUCGGGGGUACACGAGCGGCGAACGGGUGAGUAACACGUGGGUGACCUGCCCUCAGCUCUGGGAUAAGCCUGGGAAACCGGGUCUAAUACUGGAUAUGACUCCAUGACGCAUGUUGUGGGGUGGAAAGCCUUGUGCGGCUGAGGAUGGGCCCGCGGCCUAUCAGCUUGUUGGUGGGGUGAUGGCCUACCAAGGCGACGACGGUAGCCGGCCUGAGAGGGCGACCGGCCACACUGGGACUGAGACACGGCCCAGACUCCUACGGGAGGCAGCAGU
rnacentral:rRNA from 1 species